rnacentral:lncRNA from 1 species
ACAGGAAUAAACUGCUGAAAGAAGAAUCCUGUGUCGUGUUUUCCCUUGCCGGCGAGGGGUCACGACAGUUACUGGCCUCUGAACCAUGUGCAGAAUUAGCAAAUAACCCUUCAUGAAGUCGCUGCAGAAGUCAGCUUGUCUUCCUGAGAUUCUCCCUCUCUGGAGCCUUAGCCCUUCCAGUUCUUGUUAACUCAGCAGCUCUCCUCUGCCUUAAAAUAGAUGUCUUCUCUAUUUUGUUCCAAUUUUUUUGUGGUUUUUAGGUGGGAACACUGGUCUGUCACUAGCUAAUCUAUCCUACUUGGAAAUAGAGGUUCAUUCCAUCUUACUAUUUUCACUAUACCUUAUAUUUUAAAACAAAAAAAAUGUAUUUUUGUUUGACACAUUUCUCAGUAAAACAUUGCCUGACCUCUCAGAGUCUGUUAAAUAAAUCUUAUAGCACCCUUUACUUCUUUAAUAUUUAUUGCUAUUUUGAUUAAUUAUGUAAUUAAUAUGUUUAAUGUCUCUCUCCCAUGCUAGAUUAUAUGCUCCUUGGGAGCAUUAAAUUUAUCUAUCUUGCUCAUUAUUAUAUCCUUAGUACUAGACAUAAUGUUGGAUAUAUAAAUAAUAAUGGCUGAAUGAAU